rnacentral:rRNA from 1 species
UACGGGGGGGGCAAGCGUUGUUCGGAAUUACUGGGCGUAAAGGGCUCGUAGGCGGCCAACUAAGUCAGACGUGAAAUCCCUCGGCUUAACCGGGGAACUGCGUCUGAUACUGGAUGGCUUGAAUCCGGGAGAGGGAUGCGGAAUUCCAGGUGUAGCGGUGAAAUGCGUAGAUAUCUGGAGGAACACCGGUGGCGAAGGCGGCAUCCUGGACCGGCAUUGACGCUGAGGAGCGAAAGCCAGGGGAGCAAACGAG